GCUUAACACAUGCAAGUCGAACGGGUACCUCUUCGGAGGUGCUAGUGGCGGACGGGUGAGUAACACGUGGGCGACCUGCCUUUGAGUGGGGAAUAACGCUGGGAAACCAGCGCUAAUACCGCAUACGCUCUCGGUUUCAUUUCCGAGAGGAAAGCUUAAUGUGCUCAAAGAGGGGCCUGCGGCGGAUUAGCUAGUCGGUGGGGUAACGGCCUACCGAGGCACCGAUCCGUAGCUGGUCUGAGAGGACGACCAGCCACACUGGAACUGAGACACGGUCCAGACACCUACGGGUGGCAGCAGUCGAGAAUUUUUCACAAUGGGCGAAAGCCUGAUGGAGCGACGCCGCGUGGGGGAUGAAUGGCUUCGGCCCGUAAACCCCUGUCAUUUGCGAACAAACCUUACGUUUUAAUAGAGCGUGAGCUGAUUGUAGCGGAAGAGGAAGGGACGGCUAACUCUGUGCCAGCAGCCGCGGUAAUAC
rnacentral:rRNA from 1 species